rnacentral:rRNA from 1 species
GAUGAACGCUGGCGGCGUGCCUAAUACAUGCAAGUCGAGCGAACAGACGAGGAGCUUGCUCCUUUGACGUUAGCGGCGGACGGGUGAGUAACACGUGGGUAACCUACCUAUAAGACUGGGAUAACUUCGGGAAACCGGAGCUAAUACCGGAUAAUAUUUCGAACCGCAUGGUUCGAUAGUGAAAGAUGGCUUUGCUAUCACUGAUAGAUGGACCUGCGCCGUAUUAGCUAGUUGGUAAGGUAACGGCUUACCAAGGCAACGAUACGUAGCCGACCUGAGAGGGUGAUCGGCCACACUGGAACUGAGACACGGUCCAGACUCCUACGGGAGGCAGCAGUAGGGAAUCUUGCGCAAUGGGCGAAAGCCUGACGCAGCAACGCCGCGUGAAUGAUGAAGGUCUUCGGAUCGUAAAACUCUGUUAGUAGGGAAGAACAAACGUGUAAGUAACUGUGCACGUCUUGACGGUACCUAAUCAGAAAGCCACGGCUAACUACGUG